GUUUGAUUAUGGCUCAGAACGAACGCUGGCGGCAGGCCUAACACAUGCAAGUCGAGCGCUGUAGCAAUACAGAGCGGCGCACGGGUGAGUAACACGUGGGAACGUGCCCUUUGGUUCGGAAUAACUCAGGGAAACUUGAGCUAAUACCGGAUGAGCCCUAACGGGGAAAGAUUUAUCGCCGAAGGAGCGGCCCGCGUCGGAUUAGCUAGUUGGUGGGGUAAAAGCCUACCAAGGCAACGAUCCGUAGCUGGUUUGAGAGAACGACCAGCCACACUGGGACUGAGACACGGCCCAGACUCCUACGGGAGGCAGCAGUGGGGAAUCUUGGACAAUGGGGGAAACCCUGAUCCAGCCAUGCCGCGUGAGUGAUGAAGGCCCUAGGGUUGUAAAACUCUUUCGGCGGGGACGAUAAUGACGGUACCCGCAGAAGAAGCUCCGGCUAACUUCGUGCCAGCAGCCGCGGUAAUACGAAGGGGGCUAGCGUUGUUCGGAAUUACUGGGCGUAAAGCGCGCGCAGGCGGUUCUUCAAGUCAGAGGUGAAAGCCCAGAGCUCAACUCUGGAAUGGCCUUUGAGACUAGAGAACUAGGGUACGGGAGAGGUGAGUGGAAUUCCGAGUGUAGAGGUGAAAUUCGUAGAUAUUCGGAAGAACACCAGUGGCGGAAGCGGCUCACUGGCCCGUUACCGACGCUCAGGCCGGGACAGCGUGGGGAACAACAAGGAUUAGAUACCCUGGUAGUCCACGCCGUAAACGAUGGAUGCUAGCCGUUGGUAAGCAUGCUUAUCAGUGGCGCAGCUAACGCAUUAAGCGUCCCGCCUGGGGAGUACGGCCGCAAGGUUGAAACUCAAAGGAAUUGACGGGGGCCCGCACAAGCGGUGGAGCAUGUGGUUUAAUUCGACGCAACGCGCAGAACCUUACCAGGGUUUGACAUCCCGUGCCACGCUCAGAGAUGGGCGGUCCCCGCAAGGGGCGCGGAGACAGGUGCUGCAUGGCUGUCGUCAGCUCGUGUCGUGAGAUGUUGGGUUAAGUCCCGCAACGAGCGCAACCCUCUCCUUUAGUUGCCAUCAUUUAGUUGGACACUCUAAAGGGACCGCCGGCGACAAGCCGGAGGAAGGUGGGGAUGACGUCAAGUCCUCAUGGCCCUUACACCCUGGGCUACACACGUGCUACAAUGGCGGUGACAGUGGGCAGCUACCAUGUGAGUGGAAGCGAAUCCCAAAAAACCGUCCCAGUUCAGAUUGCACUCUGCAACUCGAGUGCAUGAAGGCGGAAUCGCUAGUAAUCGCAGAACAGCAGGCUGCGGUGAAUACGUUCCCGGGCCUUGUACACACCGCCCGUCACACCAUGGGAGUUGGUUCUACCUGAAGACGGUGCGCUAACCGCAAGGAGGCAGCCGGCCACGGUAGGGUCAGCGACUGGGGUGAAGUCGUAACAAGGUAGCC
rnacentral:rRNA from 1 species